UACGUAGGCAGCAAGCGUUGUUCGGAAUUACUGGGCGUAAAGAGUGUGUAGGCGGUGUUCUAAGUCUGUUGUGAAAUCUCCCGGCUUAACUGGGAGGGUGCGGCGGAAACUGGAAUGCUAGAGGAUGGGAGAGGUAAGCGGAAUUCCUGGUGUAGCGGUGAAAUGCGUAGAUAUCAGGAGGAAUACCUAUGGCGAAAGCAGGCUACUGGACCGUCACUGACUCUGAUCUGCGAAAGCUAGGGGAGCAAACAGG
rnacentral:rRNA from 1 species